rnacentral:snoRNA from 1 species
GCUAAAUGAUGAGUAACCAGAUAGGGACAACAGAUAAUACGUUUAAGUGACGAGGAAAGUCUAUAUAGUCCAGUUUUUAGUAGAGCUUGGACACCACUCUGAUU